AGCUGCCUCCUCCUCGUGCACCAUGAACUCCCCGCUCCUCCCGCUGCUCCUCCUGGCCCUGGCCCCAGGUGCCCGGUCCCAGCUCCAGCUCCAGGAGUCCGGCCCGGGCGCGGUGAAGCCCGGAGAGACCCUCACACUCACCUGCUCUGUCACCGGGGGCACCGUCACAAGCAGCUACUGGUGGAACUGGAUACGGCAGGCUCCGGGCCAGGGGCUGGAGUGGAUGGGAUUAUGGACCGGGAGCACGAGCUACAACCCGUCCCUGCAAGGCCGCAUCGCCAUCACCGUGGAUUCUUCCAGCACCAAGUAUUAUCUGCGGCUCAGCGCGCUGACAGCUGCAGACACCGCCACGUAUUUCUGUGCCACACGCUACACAGUGACACAGAACGAAGCAGGGAUCGGCACAAAAAGGGGAAGCGGAUUCUGA